rnacentral:rRNA from 1 species
UGGGGAAUAUUGGACAAUGGGCGCAAGCCUGAUCCAGCCAUGCCGCGUGAGUGAUGAAGGCCCUAGGGUUGUAAAGCUCUUUCACCGGUGAAGAUAAUGACGGUAACCGGAGAAGAAGCCCCGGCUAACUUCGUGCCAGCAGCCGCGGUAAUACGAAGGGGGCUAGCGUUGUUCGGAUUUACUGGGCGUAAAGCGCACGUAGGCGGACUUUUAAGUCAGGGGUGAAAUCCCGGGGCUCAAACCCGGAACUGCCUUUGAUACUGGAAGUCGUGAGUAUGGUAGAGGUGAGUGGAAUUCCGAGUGUAGAGGUGAAAUUCGUAGAUAUUCGGAGGAACACCAGUGGCGAAGGCGGCUCACUGGACCAUUACUGACGCUGGGGUGCGAAAGCGUGGGGAGCAAACAGG